UUUGCUCCGCCAGCCUGCUUGCAGCAGCCGUCUCAGUCAAAUGCAGCUUCAUCGGACACAGUCCAAGAGGGACACAGACUCUGGAACAAUGCAAAGACCAUCUGAAAGAGCGUUUCGUGAGCGGGACGAGACCAAACUCCGGCAGAUGGUGAGAAAAUCAUAUGUUCCACUAACAGAUGUCAUAAAGCACGCUGAACAUGCUAAGGCGGAGUUGCACAGAAAAGAGAUGCUUGCAACGAUACACGCUUGCAAGGCAAAUACGGAAUAUUCCUCCAUGGCAACUUGGGAGGACAAGAGGUCGAGACAGAGGCAGAAUGGAUCUGAAGAUAUGAUUCAAGUGUGUGCUACAACUGCGGAGGGCAUGGACACUGGCGAACAGAGUGUCCGGAGCCCAAAAAGGAAGACCCGCUUUCGACACGGCUGAGCGGAGGGAGGCGGGGGAGGGGCGGAUCCCAGAGACGGACAACCCUCUCCAGGACAAACAAGUAAGGCACACUACACAAAAGGGAAACAAAAGAAGCAAACUUUAACAUUGAUUUUCUAACCAUCUUUAAAGAUGUUUUGACUCAGAAGCUAAAAUCUCAUUUGUAAAAUUGAAAUUCCCAUUAUUUUAGGCUAUAAGAAAUAGCUCAAAACCACUCUGUAGCGAAAAGAGUGAAAAACUAAUAUUAGACCAUGGAGCUUCAGUUGCUCAUGAUCUUUUCACAUUGCACACAGUACUGCAGCAGGAAAUUAUAUGCAGCCAUUACAUUGUACAUCCCAUGUGAGCGUAGGGCCAGACAGAAUAUACGAGGAAGCAUGGUAUGAUCAACAGGUAGAAGCAGAGAGUUUAGACCUGAAGCAUGUUUACUGGUCAGAGAAGGCUGCUGCGGUGUCUGUGUCUCUCUCUCCAUCCCAGGGGAAACUGUUCCUUGGAACCACUCCUCACGUAUCAUUGGCUAAACCGUCACACUGGAAAAGGCAGGAUCUGGGUCCGUGUUACAACAACGUAUCAACCUCUUGGACUUUAGACCGGGUGCAGAAGACUCGAGGAUCGAAACUAGCGCUAUUGCACUUCACACACAGGUAAAAGCUGCACUUCCCUCACCAGCCACUGCGAUCCAGCAUCACCUGAAAACAGGAGACUGGGUGCUCAUCAAGGAUCAAGGAGGAAGCACGGGAAGCAGAGACACUACGCGGGUCCCUUCCAAGUACCCCGACAACGGAGACGGUGGUGAGAGUGGAAGGAGAACAACGUAGGUCUACGCCAGCCACUGCAAACGCAUCCCAGAUCCAGAAGGAGAAGGAGCAGCUGCUACAGGCCCGGACUAAAGGGGAAGGGUGAGAAAAGCGAGCGCCUUCCUCCAUCAAGUAGCAUGCCAAGCUACCGACAAGCGCACCAUAGCAGUGACGUAACCAAGCACCUCACUCAUUUUAUGUGGCUGGGAAGAGAGAGGAGGGGAGCAAGCCCAUAGUUUCUCAAACCGCAAAGCUGUCAUAUAUAAAUCAGUGUGGUAGGAGGCGAAAUCAUGUGCGAAGGUGUAGCCACCCAAGAAGCAGCAGCGAUGGAAGAAAGAUCUCCAGCAUCAGGACACUCCUUUGAGGAGCACGGAUGCAGCCAGAGCAAAAGCAUGCACUCACUGCUUUCUCUGAACACGACAGCAAGGAUACUGUUCCUGAACUUUGAAUUUCAAUUACAAGACAUAAACGGCAAAGAUACCAGCCCGUUUCAUCUCACGAAGAAGUGGCAGGAAUUGCCCAACAGGACGAUGUGUUCCCUCUCCUCGUCAGAUUGAUUGAUAUGUUAAUAUAGACAAACAACUUCAUCAAAUAAUAUGUGAGGGGUGGUAAGUGGCCUACCAGCAGGUCAGUAAAGCACAGCCAAAACCAGCACCUAUUGGAUACAUGUACUUUUAAGCCCAACACAAGGUCUAUUCAAUUAGAAAAUAGGUAUACAGAGCAUACCUUGAGUCAAAGUCAAGCAUUCAUCUUGGACUAAAGCAUAAUUGUACUAAAUCCUUAACUAAGACCAGACCUAGAGGUGGAGAUUCACCAACCCAAAACCAUCCAUUCUGAUCUAUUCUGUGACUAAUAUCAGCUGUCAUGGUAAUUUCUACGUGUUAGGAUAACUAAUUUGAGAAUAGUGGGUAACUAAACAAGAUCAGUACAUAGUGGGUAUUAGUAGACAAAAACCAUACUUUGCACUCAGAGGUUAAUGAUGUAAUGUCUUGAAAUCUUUGGGAAUCUACCUCACUGAUGUAUGUCCUACAAAUGGUUGUAUACUAACUUUUGACUAUCAUUUUUCAGUUGUUAAAAUUGUCAAGAAUGACAAAAAGAGUGAGAUGUUGGGGAAAAAUGUGUUUUAGAAGUUCUCUCUCCUGGAAGGUAUCAACAGCUGUCGCUCCCAUCUGUCUAUGGGGGAUAAUCUAAUCCUGUGUGGGGUCAUGUGAAGAGGUCACAACCAAGAGGUUUUGACCACCGUGUAAACCUUCAGGGGUCUCCUAUUACUUAUUUAGUGGUAGCAGAUGGACUCUGGAAUGUGCACGUCUUGGCGAUGUGUAUAAGAAGGAACGAGCCGAUGAAGAAAGUAGCAUUAAGCCGGAAGCUCCUCACAGAGGAGGGUUCAGGGCUUUGCUCCACUCAGCUGGGUGUUUCCAUGACUUGGUUGAUGUGAUAUACUUAUUUGUUCCAUGACUUAUUUGUCUAGUUGAAUCACUUGUCCACUUGUUUGUACCUGGCUCACAUUCUGAUCAUUUGUGAACUUGUUACUAUAUAAUAAAGUGUGAUAGGACCACCGUG